rnacentral:tRNA from 1 species
ACUUGGCUGGCUCAGUUGGUAGAGCAUGUGACUCUUGAUCUUGGGGUCAUGAGUCCAAGCCCUAUGUUGGGUG